AUUGAACGCUGGCGGCAUGCUUUACACAUGCAAGUCGAACGGUAACAGGGUGCUUGCACCGCUGACGAGUGGCGAACGGGUGAGUAAUGCGUCGGAACGUGCCGAGUAGUGGGGGAUAACGCAGCGAAAGUGGUGCUAAUACCGCAGACGUACAGAGGUAGAGAGUGGGGGACCUUCGGGCCUCACGCUAUUCGAGCGGCCGCCGUCUGAUUAGCUAGUAGGGGAGGUAAAGGCUCACCUAGGCGACGAUCAGGAGCGGGUCUGAGAGGAUGGUCCGCCACACUGGGACUGGGACACGGCCCAGACUCCUACGGGAGGCAGCAGUGGGGAAUUUUGGACAAUGGGCGAAAGCCUGAUCCAGCCAUGCCGCGUGUCUGAAGAAUGCCUUCGGGUUGUAAAGGACUUUUGUCGGGGAGGAAAUCCCCAGCGUUAAUACCGCUGGGGGAUGACAGUACCUGAAGAAUAAGCACCGGCUAACUACGUGCCAGCCGCCGCCGUAAAAC
rnacentral:rRNA from 1 species